rnacentral:rRNA from 1 species
CCUACGGGAGGCAGCAGUAAGGAAUAUUGGACAAUGCUCGCAAGAGUGAUCCAGCCAUGCCGCGUGCAGGAAGAAUGCCCUAUGGGUAGUAAACUGCUUUUGAACUAGAGAAAACCCCAGUACGUGUACUGGGCUGAUAGUAUAGUUAGAAUAAGCAUCGGCUAACUUCGUGCCAGCAGCCGCGGUAAGACGAAGGAUGCAAGCGUUAUCCGGAUUCAUUGGGUUUAAAGGGAGCGUAGGUGGACUGAUAAGUCAGUGGUGAAAUCUCCGAGCUUAACUCGGAAAUUGCCAUUGAUACUGUUGGUCUUGAGUACAGUUGCUGUGGGCGGAAUAUGACAUGUAGUGGUGAAAUACAUAGAGAUGUCAUAGAACACCGAUUGCGAAGGCAGCUCACAAAGCUGUAACUGACACUGAGGCUCGAAAGUGCGGGGAUCAAACAGGAUUAGAUACCCUGGUAGUCCGCACCGUAAACGAUGAUUACUCGCUGCUAGGGGGCAACCUUUAGUGGCUUAGCGAAAGCGAUAAGUAAUCCACCUGGGGAGUACGCCGGCAACGGUGAAACUCAAAUGAAUUGACGG